UCCCCCCACUACACCGCUACAAAACUGUUACUGCGUCUACUUAUCCCCUCACUACACCGCUACAAAACUGUUACCCCGUCUACUUAUCCCCUCACUACACCGCUACAAAACUGUUACUGCAUCUACUUAUCCCCCCCACUACACUGCUACAAAACUGUUACUGCAUCUACUUAUCCCCUCACUACACCGCUACAAAACUGUUACCCCGUCUACUUAUCCCCUCACUACGCCGCUACAAAACCGUUACAGCGUCUACUAAUCCCCCCACUACACCGCUACAAAACUGUUACUGCAUCUACUUAUCCCCCCACUACACCGCUACAAAACUGUUACCACGUCUACUUAUCCCCUCACUACACCGCUACAAAACUGUUACCACGUCUACUUAUCCCCUCACUACACCGCUACAAAACUGUUACUGCAUCUACUUAUCCCCCCACUACACCGCUACAAAACUGUUACCACGUCUACUUAUCCCCUCACUACACCGCUACAAAACUGUUACUGCAUCUACUUAUCCCCCCCACUACACUGCAACAAAACUGUUACUGCAUCUACUUAUCCCCCUCACUACACCGCUACAAAACCGUUCCUGCAUCUACUUAUCCCCCCAGUACAACGCUACAAAACAGUUACCGCGUAUACUUAUCCCCUAUUACAAAACCGUUACUGCGUCUACUUAUCCCCUCACUACACCGCUACAAAACUUUUACCCCGUCUACUUAUCCCCCCUACACCGCUUCAAAACCGUUACAGCGUCUACUAAUCCCCCCACUACACCGCUACAAAACUGUUACUGCAUCUACUUAUCCCCCCCCACUACACCGCUAUAAAACCAUUACCGCGUCUACUUAUCUUCCUCACUAUACCACUACAAAACUGUUACCGUGUCUUCUUAUCCCCCCACUACACCGCUACAAAAUUGUUAUUGUGUCUACUUAUCUCCCCACUACAAAAACAUUACCGCGUCUACUUAUCCCCCACUACACCGCCUCAAAACAGUUACCGCAUCUACUUAUCCCCUAUUACAAAACCGUUACCGCGUCUACUUAUCCCCUCACUAUACCACUACAAAACUGUUACCGCGUCUACUUAUCCCCCCACUACACCGCUAUAAAACCGUUACCGCGCCUACUUAUCCCCCCAUACACCGUGACAAAACCGUUACUGUGUCUACUUAUCCCCUCACUACACCGCUACAAAACUGUUACUGCAUCUACUUAUCCCCCCCACUACACCGCUAUAAAACCAUUACCGCGUCUACUUAUCUUCCUCACUAUACCACUACAAAACUGUUACUGCGUCUACUUAUACCCCCACUACACCGCUACAAAACUGUUACUGCAUCUACUUAUCCCCCUCACUACACCGCUACAAAACUGUUACCGCGUCUACUUAUCCCCCUCACUACACCACUACAAAACCGUUACCGUGUCUUCUUAUCCCCCCACUACACCGCUACAAAAUUGUUAUUGUGUCUACUUAUCUCCCCACUACAAAAACAUUACCACGUCUACUUAUCCCCCACUACACCGCCUCAAAACAGUUACCGCAUCUACUUAUCCCCUAUUACAAAACCGUUACCGCGUCUACUUAUCCCCUCACUAUACCACUACAAAACCAUUACCGCGCCUACUUAUCCCCCACUACACCGUGACAAAACCGUUACUGUGUCUACUUAUCCCCCCACUACACCGCUAUAAAACCGUUACCGCGCCUACUUAUCCCCCACUACACCGUGACAAAACCGUUACUGUGUCUACUUAUCCCCUCACUACACCGCUAAAAAACCAUUACCGCGCUUACUUAUCCCCCCGAAACCUGGCUGUCCUCCACACGGCACCAAUCACAGCCGG
ensembl:lncRNA